CCAUAAACUUAAAUAUAUACCAUAACAAAAAUUAUAUACCCUAAAUCAUAUUACAUAUACUGUACACUUUUAUUUUAAAACUCUAAAUUUUAAAUACAAAAUAAAUGUAAUCAAUAAUUUGAAUAUAAUUUAUUUUUUAUAUAAAUACAAUUAGUUAAACAAUAAAUUAUAAUUUCUAAAACAAUUAUUAAUAAAAAUAGUUUUGGAUUGAUUAAUUUUCGACCACUGAUUGGUUUUAUUCCAAAGGUUACAAGUUUAUCUUAGUUAAUCCUAUUACUUUCUCUUUAUUGGUCAAUGAUUUGUGGCCAUUGAUUGUUUUUCUCCUGAGAUCAAUCUUCUCCAUCUUCUCCAUCACUCGGCCAUCUUUUCUCAAUCUUCUCCAUCCAUCCUUGAAUCAUUAAACCUAAAAUCACAAAGUCUUCAGAUCUGCACACAGAGCUUGACUCUCAUCAACCUCUUACGAUUCAACCUGUCUGGAUUCAACUCUCUCUCUCUCUCUCUCUCUCUCUCUCUCUCUCUCUCUCUCUCUCUCUCUCUCUCUCUCUCUCUCUCUCUCUCUCUCUCUAUCUCUAUCUCUCUCACUCAGCCAUGAUGAAAGCUUCGGCGAUAACGCUUGACUCGAGUCAGAGAUGGCGAGUGACAACAGAGCAGCGCCGGUGGCAAGGCGGAAGAUGGCUGUCCUUCAUAAGCAGAGGAGGAGAAGAGGCUUCGAUGGUUCAGCUCGCCGGAGAUGAAUAAAGGGGAAGUCUCAGCCUCUCUUUGCCGUGAACCUCGCCGGUCAAGCUCUCUCAAUCUCUCUACAACUUUUGCAAGUCUUUACUUCUGAAAUUUUAGGUUCUUUUGUGACUUUGUUAAAUCUAUAUGAGCUCAUUAGUAUUCGUGGAACUAAUUGUUUGGAGGAUUUAAUCUUAACUCAUGUAAUUAUCUUUGUUUAUUUAUGAGACAUGGCUUUGGUACUUAGGUUGAAGGGUUUUGCGCCUGCUACUGUCACCUUGCUCGUUCUUCUAACUUGAGGAAAUUAAGGAUUUUGUUGUUGACUUGAGGAGUAGUAAUGAAGAUAGUCUAGAAAGUAACACUUGAAUAUGUUUGAGCAUUUUUACUUCAAAUACUAGUUCUCUUUUCUAUUUUGUAGCUUGGAUUAUAAGAAACAGUUUCAGGGCUUGUCCUUUUUAAGUCUAAAUAAGUGGCCUGGUUUUGUAGAGUUUGAUGAUGUUAAUGUUAAGGUGCUGAGUGACAAGACUGUUGGCGAAGGUGACGAUGCUUUCAACACCUUCUUCAGCGAAACCGGUGCAGGGAAGCAUGUCCAUCAUGCUGUCUUUGUCGACCUUGAGCCCACCAUGAUCGACGAGCUUUUUACAUGGAGGUGGAAUCAAAGAGGUACAUUAGGACAUCCAUCAGAGACGAAAACAGAAAGCCAAUGUCAAUAUUACACAGAGAAAGGAAGCAAUGAAGAUUCUAGUCGGAGGAGAGAACUAGAAGGAGAGUCGGAGUAGAGUCGUUGGUGUGAAUCCGAGAGAGAGAGACUUCGAAAGGGAGAUAGUUUUGAUUUUUUUUUUCUAAGUGUUUAGGCUUGUUAGUGUUUUGUGGGAUGUUUUGUGUUUUAAUGAUUAAUUUUGGCUAAAAAUGAUUUGGAGCCAAAACCCCAAAA